GGAUGCGAUUGUACCAACAUUAACACACUAAAUUCUAUCAGAACUUUAAAACUAGGUGUGUUUGGACGAUAGUACUACUAGGAUCGAUAACCUCUGGGAAGUCCUCGUAUUGUAUCUA
rnacentral:rRNA from 2 species